AGAGAUCUGCCUGCCUCUGCCUCCCGAGUGCUGGGAUUAAAGGCGUGUGCCACCAACACAGGGAUGACACCCUUGUUUUCCAGGGAGACAAGUUUUAGUGAAGAGGUUCAUGAUGGUCCCCGGCAAGGGCAGAAGGCAGAAGGACUCAACCUCCCCCAGGGACCCCAAGGCUCUUCGGAAGAGGAAGGACAGGCCAGACACCACAGAGGAUGGGGACUGACUCAGAGGCGGUUCCCAGAGGUCUCCUGAGCCAGCCCAGCCAGCUCCGCAUGGGGAGAACGAAGAACUAAUGAGACCCGGGCAAUGAGAGCCCUAGGACGGUCGACUGGGAGGAAGCAGGCACUUCCUCAGGCGUGUACCCCCACACACCUCUUGACCUGCAUCUGACCCCAGCUAGAUCUUGGUCCCCAAAGCUGACCUCACACAGCUGAGGAUGGCAGGAAAGAGCAGGGGUGACCAGAGACAGUGCCGUUAAGAGAUGUAAAGCUAAUGAGAUUAAUUAAUCCAGUGCUUCUGGUGUCUGGUGACUUUAGGACCAGCCUUGUCUCCCUGCCCCCACUUCAGGUUCCUGGCUCCUCCCAGUUUCUGCCACCCCUCCCUCCCCAAGUCUCCUGGCUUCCCUCCUGCCGUCCGGGCCCCAGAGCUUUCUCAACAGUCGCCGAGCCAAGUCCAGCUACGUGUAGGGGGAAGGUUCAGACCACACACAUUCCAGUCGGGAAGGGCCCUAUAGCCCAAUAGUCUAGAGCAGGGGUUCUCAACAGUUCAUGUUGUGGUCACCCCCCAACCAUGAAAUUACUUUUGUUUCUACUGCAUAACUGUAAUGUUGCUGCUGUUACGAAUCAUAAUGUAAAUAUCGGUAUUUUCCAGUGGCCCCCCAAAGGUUUGAGACCCACAAGUUAAGACCCACUGGUCUAGGCUUCCUUCCUCGAAGGGCUGCAAGACUGACUCAGGGACGGACGUGAGGGCCUGGUGGAGUCUACUCUAACCCCAGCCUUUGUGAGGCUGAGGAGGCAGAAGGUGUGAGUGCUCUGAGUUCAAGGCCAACUGGGGCUACACCGUGAGAAACUGUUAAAAAAAAAUAGCUGAGCAGCAAUGGCGCACCCCUUUAUUCCCAGCA